rnacentral:lncRNA from 1 species
UAGCAAAUUGAAAUUUUCCUGCUAUGAUCAUCUCCCAGGAUGCUUUCUGCUCCUCUCCAGUCGCUGUAGAACUAAACUGGUACGUUUUUAUGUGCAUUCACAUUUAGAAUGGAGGAGUACAUUCACUUGGAUUUAUCCCUUUUUCAUUAUGAAAUAUAUCUCUUUGUUUUUAGCAAUGUUUGUUCUAAAGUCUACUCUAUCUGAUAUUGCUAUGACUGCACUAGCUUUUCUUGGUUAGGGUUUGCAUGGUAUGUCUUUUCUCAUCCUUUCAUUUUUAACAACUCUGUGUUCUUACGCCCCAACUUGUGAGUCUUAAACAGGAUAUAGCUUGGUUUUGUCUUUAUACUCAGGCUGCCAAUCUUUGCUUCUUGGAGCAUUUACUCAUUUAUAUGUAAUGUAAUUACUGUUAUAUUGUGUUUAUUGUCCUCCAUUUUUUUUUCUGUUUCUACUUGACCCACUUGUUUCAUAUUCUUUGGCCUCUCCUGUCUUGACUUCUUUUAAAUCAAUCAGACUUUUCAUUAUUCUCAUUCUUUCCUUUAUUAAUUUAUUGUUAUUUGUUAUUUUAUUAUUCUUUUAGUUUUUACCCUAAAGAUUACAUCAUUUAUUGAUGUGUUAAUGUCUAAAAUAAGUUAUUGCCUUUCCACUUCUCUGAUUAUGCUCAAAAUCUGAGACAUUCUAAGUCCACUUAAAUGGGUAUAUUCCAUUAUACCCAUCUAAUGAGUUCUAAUCUUAAUGUAUUUUAAGUUUUUCUAAUUUCCAUUCAUUUCUUCUUUUGAUUAUAUAUAUAUAUUUGCUUCUUCUUUUGCAGUCUUGCUGUCAUAUAUUUUAAUUUUCCAUGUUUCAAAC